rnacentral:rRNA from 1 species
GACGAACGCUGGCGGCGUGCCUAAUACAUGCAAGUAGAACGCAGUUGCGAACGGGUGAGUAACGCGUAGGUAACUGCCUCAUAGCGGGGGAUAACUAUUGGAAACGAUAGCUAAUACCGCAUACUGGGAGAUGGACCUGCGUUGUAUUAGCUAGUUGGUGAGGUAAAGGCUCACCAAGGCGACGAUACAUAGCCGGCCUGAGAGGGUGAGUGGCCCCACUUGGACUGGGGAAAGGCCCAGACUCCCACGGGAGGGAGCAGUAGGGAAUCUUCGGCAAUGGACGGAAGGCUGAACGAGCAAAGCCGCGUGAGUGAAGAAGGUUUUCGGAUUGUAAAGCUCUGUUGUUAGAGAAGCGGUACCUAACCAGAAAGGGACGGCUAACUACGUGCCAGCAGCCGCGGUAAUAC